UGUUAAAAGUUUCAUCCAUUUCUACUGUUAAAAAUUGAAAUGGCUGAUAGAAUAAUAAAAAAGUUGCACGUGGCAUGCCAUGUGUAUAUUAUUCUGACGUACAUAUAUAUCAGUUUUUCACAAUAGAAAUAGAUGAAAUUUUUAUUA
rfam:Gossypium hirsutum cultivar TM-1 chromosome 9, whole genome shotgun sequence